rnacentral:rRNA from 1 species
UACGGGGGGCAAGCGUUGUUCGGAAUUACUGGCGUAAAGGGCUCGUAGGCGGCCAACUAAGUCCGACGUGAAAUCCCCAGGCUUAACCUGGGAACUGCGUCGGAUCUGGAUGGCUUGAAUUCGGGAGAGGGAUGCAGAAUUCCAGGUGUAGCGGUGAAAUGCGUAGAUAUCUGGAGGAAUACCGGUGGCGAAGGCGGCUUUCUGGACGGGUAACUGACGCUGAGAGCGAAAGCGUGGGGAGCAAACAGGG